rfam:Phoenicopterus ruber ruber contig81051, whole genome shotgun sequence.
CUCUCUGCUCAGCCAGGCUGAUCUUUUUCCCUGCCAGGUCACCUUUCGGCACAUGGGGACAGCCUGCUCCUGCACCUUUAAGAUUUCCUUCUUGAAGAAUGUCCAGCCUUCCUGGACUCCUUUGCCCUUCAGGACUGUCUCCCAAGGGACUCAGCCAACCAGUCUCCUCAACAGGCCAAAGUCUGCCCUCCGGAAGUCCAAGGUGGCAGUUCUGGUGACCCUCCUCUUUACUUCUCUGAGAAUCGAAAACUCUAUCAAUUUCAUGGUCACUGUGCCCAAGACGGCCUCAGACUGUCACAUCACCCACAAGACCUUCUCUGUUCACAAAGAGCAGGUCCAGCGGGGCAUCUUCUCUCGUUGGCUCCCUCACCAGCUGCGUGAGGAAGUUAUCUUCCACACACUCCAGGAACCUCCUGGACUGUUUCCUCUCUGCUGCAUUGUAUUUCCAGCAGACAUCUGGCAAGUUGAAGUCCCCCAUGAGAACAAGGGCUAGCGAUAGUGAGGCUUCUCCCAGCUGCCUGUAGAAUACUUCAUCUGCCUCCUCAUCCUGGUUGGGUGGUCUGUAACAGACUCCCGCCAUGAUAUCUGCCUUGUUGGCCUUCCCCCUGAUUCUUACCCAUAGACACUCAACCCUCUUGUCACCAUCCUCGAGCUCAAGGCAGUCAAGGCUCUCCCUACCAUAGAGAGCUACCCCACCAUCUCUCCUUCCUUGCCUAUCCCUUCUGAAGAGUUUGUAAUGAAGGUAGAAGGGACAGUAGGUAGGAAAUAAAAGGGAAUUUGGUAAUCACGCUGCAUAAUCUUGUCUGCCAACAAAAUCAACCAGCUUUACCUAGGUGGACAGGCCACCUUACUUAGCCCAGAAAAGGAAUGUGUAAUUCAUGCGUGAUCAAUAAAUAGCCAAAUGCCUCAUCAUCCAAUUAGUGAUGUGCAUGAAUGGAUGCAUGAGAUUCCCACUGUCCCUACUUACUGGCCAGUGAAACCACAGUCAAGAGAACAGGCUUGGCAGAAUCAGCAGGGAAAGAAGACCCCGUUGAGCAUGACUCCAGCCUGGUGCUACAGAGACAUCAGAGGUGUAGAAUAAAUGGGACGCCUUGUGGUUGUGCAACUCAGGCCAUGGUCCAAUUGCCAGUGAAAUACCACUGAUCAUUUUUUCCACUUACCCAGUGAGGUGGCGGGGGGGGGGAGGUGGCGAUUCAGAAAGGGCUCUCAUUUCUGAUGCCAAGUGCCUGGCAUGACCUGCUCCAGGGACAGUGUCAGGUGGGGAGUUUGACUGGGGCAGUACACCUGUCAAACCAUAACACAGGUAUCCUAAGGUGAGCUCAAGGAGGACGGAAAUCUCCCGCAGAGCGUAAGAUCAAGGCUUCAUCUUGAUUUUCAGUAUAAAUAUCGUCCACGAAAGCAGGGCCUCACGAUCCUUCUGACUUUUGGGGUUUUAAGCAAGCAUCCAGGAGACAGUGGAUGAGGAACUCCAGGCAUGAGUCUCCACAUGAGGAACUCGGCAGUCUAGGAUGUUCUGCUCUGUCCCCCAACAGCCUGGGGAAUUCAGGCUGUUCCUGCAAGGACUGGUCACACUGGGAAAGAUGAGGCUGUCUGGGCAUCCCCACCACAUUUCUCCCUCUAGUGGCCCUGAGGGGACGGU